UGCGUAGGUGGCAAGGUAAGUCGGAUGUGAAAUCUCCGAGCUCAACUCGGAAAUGGCAUUGGAAACUGCUUUGCUCGAGGGUUGGAGGGGGGACUGGAAUACUUGGUGUAGCAGUGAAAUGCGUAGAUAUCAAGUGGAACACCAGUGGCGAAGGCGAGUCCCUGGACAACUCCUGACACUGAGGCACGAAAGCUAGGGGAGCAAACA
rnacentral:rRNA from 1 species